rnacentral:rRNA from 1 species
UACGUAGGGUGCAAGCGUUAAUCGGAAUUACUGGGCGUAAAGCGUGCGCAGGCGGUUGUGUAAGACAGAUGUGAAAUCCCCGGGCUCAACCUGGGAAUUGCAUUCGAUACUGGAUAGCUAGAGUUCGGCAGAGGGAAGCGGAAUUUCGGGUGUAGCGGUGAAAUGCGCAGAUAUCAGGAGGAACACCGGUGGCGAAGGCGGCAUCCUGGACCGGUAUUGACGCUGAGGCGCGAAAGCUAGGGGAGCAAACGGG